GCGGGUGUAGUUCAGAGGUAGAACAUCAGCUUCCCAAGCUGAGAACGCGGGUUCGAUUCCCGUCACCCGCUCAA
rnacentral:tRNA from 4 species